rfam:Pteropus alecto contig71267, whole genome shotgun sequence.
GGUUCCAUAGUGUAUUGGUUAGCACGUCUGCUUUAUAUGCAGAAGGUCCUGGGUUCGUGCCCCAGUGGAGCCA